rnacentral:rRNA from 1 species
GAUGAACGCUGGCGGCGUGCCUAAUACAUGCAAGUCGAGCGAACAGAUGAGGAGCUUGCUCCUCUGACGUUAGCGGCUGACGGGUGAGUAACACGUGGAUAACCUACCUAUAAUACUGGGAUAACUUCGGGAAACCGGAGCUAAUACCGGAUAAUAUAUUGAACCGCAUCGUUCAAUAGUGAAAGACGGUUUUGCUGUCACUUAUAGAUGGAUCCGCGCCGCAUUAGCUAGUUGGUAAGGUAACGGCUUACCAAGGCAACGAUGCGUAGCCGACCUGAGAGGGUGAUCGGCCACACUGGAACUGAGACACGGUCCAGACUCCUACGGGAGGCAGCAGUAGGGAAUCUUCCGCAAUGGGCGAAAGCCUGACGGAGCAACGCCGCGUGAGUGAUGAAGGUCUUCGGAUCGUAAAACUCUGUUAUUAGGGAAGAAAAAAUGUGUAAGUAACUAUGCACGUCUUGACGGUACCUAAUCAGAAAGCCACGGCUAACUACGUG